GACAAUUGGAAUUGUAAAGAGUCGCUUUGGAUAAAAGCGUCUGCUAAAUGACUAAAU
rfam:Danio rerio chromosome 3, GRCz11 reference primary assembly.